UCAUACAGCAUUUGGAAAUAUUCCCACC
rnacentral:piRNA from 1 species